rnacentral:misc_RNA from 1 species
CAGAGUUCAUGCCCUUCGGGGUAGACCUCCCACCCUGUUUAAUUACUAUUGUUGCUUUGGCAGGUUGCCCUCACCAUGGGGCGUCCGGGUUCUGCCCGCGUCGUGCCUGCCAAUAGCCCCCUAAAUUCUGUGUUAUGUGUCGUCUGAGUACUAUAUAAUAAGUUA